AUUGAACGCUGGCGGCAUGCCUUACACAUGCAAGUCGAACGGCAGCACGGGUGCUUGCACCUGGUGGCGAGUGGCGAACGGGUGAGUAAUACAUCGGAACAUGUCCUGUAGUGGGGGAUAGCCCGGCAAAAGCCGGAUUAAUACCGCAUACGAUCCACGGAUGAAAGCGGGGGACCUUCGGGCCUCGCGCUAUAGGGUUGGCCGAUGGCUGAUUAGCUAGUUGGUGGGGUAAAGGCCUACCAAGGCGACGAUCAGUAGCUGGUCUGAGAGGACGACCAGCCACACUGGGACUGAGACACGGCCCAGACUCCUACGGGAGGCAGCAGUGGGGAAUUUUGGACAAUGGGCGAAAGCCUGAUCCAGCAAUGCCGCGUGUGUGAAGAAGGCCUUCGGGUUGUAAAGCACUUUUGUCCGGAAAGAAAUCCUUGACUCUAAUACAGUCGGGGGAUGACGGUACCGGAAGAAUAAGCACCGGCUAACUACGUG
rnacentral:rRNA from 1 species